GUACCUCGGGACAAAAGUGCGGGCAGUAGCGCCGUGCGGGUUUAGGUUAGGGGGGUCUAGAGGAAAUAGGAAAGGAAGACGCGGUGGGUUGGGGAGACGAAAGCUCCGGAGGCUGGUGGUAGGGAGGUACCGAGGGGCGGGUCACGGAAGGUUCCAGUGGGCUCACGGAGUUAGACGAGAGAUACUACACCUAGACAUGGGUAACCGGUGGUGGUAGGUACCGAGGAAGCCAUAACACUGUGCUGCAAAGGGUAGAGGCAAGAUCUGUAGUGGUACACUGUGGUUGCGGACCGGACGAGGAGGUGGUGCCGGGUCGAGCCUGGUGCGGCGAUAGCUGCGGUGGCAACGCUUAGGUGGGGUUGAGCUCGUCAAGUGGCCGCAGUACCUCCUUCGUGGCUCGUCGGCGUAACGUUUAUACUCCUUGUAGUAGUCACGUUCUUCAGGUCUAAGUGAGCUGCCGCUCUUUAUCAGAGUAUAAAAACAAGGUUUAUCAUACAUGGUGAGGGGUGAAACUAUGAAUACUUGUGGGUAGACUCUAGAGGUAAAGGAACAAUGUCAAGUAGGUCUAGUCAUCAUGCUAAAUUCCAAGUACUAGGUCGAUAUUCUCUCCACAUUAUAGGAGACGGGAACUGUACCAUACCAUGUAUGACAAUAAAAGGAUCGACAGAGGUUUAAGUACA
rnacentral:rRNA from 1 species